AUUGCCCUAGUAACGGCGAGUGAAGCGGCAACAGCUCAAAUUUGAAAUCUGGCCUUCGGGUCCGAGUUGUAAUUUGUAGAGGAUGCUUUUGGUGAGGUGCCUUCCGAGUUCCCUGGAACGGGACGCCAUAGAGGGUGAGAGCCCCGUCUGGUUGGACACCGAUCCUCUGUAAAGCUCCUUCAACGAGUCGAGUAGUUUGGGAAUGCUGCUCUAAAUGGGAGGUAUAUGUCUUCUAAAGCUAAAUAUUGGCCAGAGACCGAUAGCGCACAAGUAGAGUGAUCGAAAGAUGAAAAGCACUUUGAAAAGAGAGUUAAAAAGUACGUGAAAUUGUUGAAAGGGAAGCGCUCAUGACCAGACUUGGGCUUGGUUGAUCAUCCAGGGUUCUCCCUGGUGCACUCUUCCAGUUCAGGCCAGCAUCAGUUCGCUGCGGGGGAUAAAGGCUUUGGGAAUGUGGCUCCCUCGGGAGUGUUAUAGCCCAUUGUGUAAUACCCUGUGGUGGACUGAGGACCGCGCUUCGGCAAGGAUGCUGGCGUAAUGGUCAUCAGUGACCCGUCUUGAAACACGGACCAAGGAGUCGUCUUCGUAUGCGAGUGUUCGGGUGUUAAACCCCUACGCGUAAUGAAAGUGAACGCAGGUGAGAGCUUCGGCGCAUCAUCGACCGAUCCUGAUGUUCUCGGAUGGAUUUGAGUAAGAGCAUACGGGGCCGGACCCGAAAGAAGGUGAACUAUGCCUGUAUAGGGUGAAGCCAGAGGAAACUCUGGUGGAGGCUCGCAGCGGUUCUGACGUGCAAAUCGAUCGUCAAAUAUGGGCAUGGGGGCGAAAGACUAAU
rnacentral:rRNA from 1 species